rnacentral:rRNA from 1 species
UAUACCGUGAAACUGCGAAUGGCUCAUUAAAUCAGUUAUCGUUUAUUUGAUAAUACCUUACUACUUGGAUAACCGUGGUAAUUCUAGAGCUAAUACAUGCUGAAAAUCCCGACUUCGGAAGGGAUGUGUUUAUUAGAUAAAAAACCAAUGCCCUUCGGGGCUUUUUGGUGAUUCAUGAUAACUUUACGGAUCGCAUAGCCUUGCGCUGGCGACGGUUCAUUCAAAUUUCUGCCCUAUCAACUUUCGAUGGUAAGGUAUUGGCUUACCAUGGUUUCAACGGGUAACGGGGAAUUAGGGUUCGAUUCCGGAGAGGGAGCCUGAGAAACGGCUACCACAUCCAAGGAAGGCAGCAGGCGCGCAAAUUACCCAAUCCCGACACGGGGAGGUAGUGACAAUAAAUACUGAUACAGGGCUCUUUUGGGUCUUGUAAUUGGAAUGAGUACAAUUUAAACCUCUUAACGAGGAACAAUUGGAGGGCAAGUCUGGUGCCAGCAGCCGCGGUAAUUCCAGCUCCAAUAGCGUAUAUUAAAGUUGUUGCAGUUAAAAAGCUCGUAGUUGAAACUUGGGCCUGGCUGGCGGGUCCGCCUCACCGCGUGCACUCGUCCGGCCGGGCCUUCCUUCUGAAGAACCUCAUGCCCUUUACUGGGCGUGCUGGGGAAUCAGGACUUUUACUUUGAAAAAAUUAGAGUGUUCAAAGCAGGCCUUUGCUCGAAUACGUUAGCAUGGAAUAAUAAAAUAGGGCGUGCGUUUCUAUUUUGUUGGUUUCUAGAGACGCCGCAAUGAUUAACAGGAACAGUCGGGGGCAUCAGUAUUCAGUUGUCAGAGGUGAAAUUCUUGGAUUUACUGAAGACUAACUACUGCGAAAGCAUUUGCCAAGGAUGUUUUCAUUAAUCAGUGAACGAAAGUUAGGGGAUCGAAGACGAUCAGAUACCGUCGUAGUCUUAACCGUAAACUAUGCCGACUAGGGAUCGGGCGAUGUUCUUUUUCUGACUCGCUCGGCACCUUACGAGAAAUCAAAGU